CUUUUCCAUACACCCACCCCCACCCCCCCCAGGCUUGUGGUUUUAAUCAGCCAAUCCUCCCUCUGUUAGCCUGACCAGCGUGACAAACCCUUGGUUGAGGAUUACUUACUGGGUGACCCGUGGAUCACAGCCAACCCCCCACUCCCAAAACACAGCCUGUGAAAUGAGUCUCACAAACAGAACUCUCAGCCCAGACUCUAAAGCUAAAAUUAAUAGCUACUUAAUGCUUAAACUUCCUAAAUUCAUUCAGUGGUUUUACACUGCUUUACUGUUAUAUAGAGGGCAGUAUUUCACAGUGUACUUGUACUGUGGAUUAUGAAGGUCUUUAUAUAGAUGAUUAGUCUUCCUUUGUGUUUUUUCAUUUUUUCUUCCUUUCUUUUCGUGAAUAUUUUUUCCGUAUUGAAUAAAUUCAGUUCAGUUUCGACGUCACCUAAAUGUCCGUCACUCCCCCCACUGUUACACUUUGCUGCGGUUGAGACUGACUUGCACCCCAGUGCCCCCCCCCCCACACACACACACACACACACACACUGGAUACAUCAUGAUUUCUCUGUUUCCCACCUUAAACAAACACACCUUCGUACGGCAGCUGGAGAACAGCCCCCCCCAUCUCCACUGCACUCAGAUCGCCGCGAUAAAGCCGCUGGCUAAAAGGGACGGACGCGCCUGACGAGGGGGGCUGGUGUGCUGGGGGGGGUCUGGGCUUCACACCUGCUCCUGGAGAAUGAGACGGCAACCACACAGGAUUCAGGGUGCCUGCCUCUCAAUGGGGGCGUGCCCCCCCCCCCACCACUCAGGCUGACACCAUCCUUGCCUGAGAUUUGAAGCACUUUUUCUGCUCCCCCCAAUCUCACAUAUUAUCACCCCUCUCAGGUGCAACUACGAUUUUAAUGGAUUUCGUGGAAUAAAGGACAGGAUGGGGGCACUUUAAUAUUCCGGGGAGCUUUGGUAGGCAGCCUGGCCCGCUGUAUAUGAUGGACCCAGAUAUGGACCCCCAGCACCCCCCCCCCCUCACCGCAGUGCUUACAGUGUAAAGGGCGCCAUCCACCGCGUCUGUCCUAUCAUGGAAGAUCUGCGGCCAGCAGUAAAUAUUUGCCCAACAGGGGGAAUAUUAUGCGUGACGUAAAAAUGCACCAAACCAUUGAAGGAAGCGUUUGUCUGUCACGGCAAUAAAAUGCAACACGAUAAAUCAGCAGGAGCAGAAGCUGCGACUGUUUGGUAGCCCUGAGUAAACAGACCGGGCCGCUGUCGCCGCACACAGCGCUCUCUCUCUCUCUCUCUCUCUCUCUCUCUCUCUCUUUCUCUCUCAGAGCGAGGGAUGUCUCAGCGUCCCCCUACUCCAAGCCGGCGAGGUCUCUUAUCCCCCCCACCAAAAGACAGGAGCGAUUCCAGCUCCUCAAGCCUGUGAGCAGAGCCACAGGUUGCGCAACAUACAGUGAAGACCUAAAAAAUGCAAUUUUUAAAACAAGACGUCACCAGUCUGCCGAUAAAUUCAACUUUAAGCUUCGGGUCAACAAUUUAAUUCGACCGACUCUGCCGUUUUGGACGGGACAUCAAGGGCCCCGAGUCCUUGGCAUCUGAGGUCGACGCCGCUCCAGUGAUGGGGACACGGACGCACGCAAACACAGCAGCACGGACGGGGAACGCCCCCCCCCCCCCCACCAAAAAAAGUGAAAAGCAUCUCCUAUGAAACAAGCUCCAUCUCCCCACCUCACCACCACCACCGGAUGAUGCAGAUGUGGGUUUUUGGUAACUGAGAGCUAAUUAGCCAGCCGGUGGGAUAGUUAGGGAGCUGCGUUAUACUCUGACUCCGGCACUCAGCGUCCCACCGCAUCCUGCCGCCCCCGUGGGUCAUUAAAUCGAGCGCUGUCUGACGAGGGGAACCACCGGAGAGAUGACAGGACCCCUCCCCAUCAGCCUGGCCCCUCAAAUCACUUUGGGGCAGGGGGGACAACAGCUAUAGCCUGCAGAUCUAUAAAAGCACAUUAAAACCAGAAUGUCCAGAAAA